rnacentral:rRNA from 1 species
UAGGGAAUAUUAGUAAUGGGCGAAAGCCUGAACUAGCAACGCCGCGUGUGCGAAGAAGGCCUUCGGGUCGUAAAGCACUUUUUGAGAGGAUGAGGAAGGACGGUACUCUCAGAAUAAGUCUCGGCUAACUACGUGCCAGCAGCCGCGGUAACACGUAGGAGGCAAACGUUAUCCGGAUUUACUGGGCGUAAAGCGCGUGUAGGUGGUUUGGUAAGUAGGGCGUGAAAGCUCCUGGCUCAACUGGGAGAGGACGUUCUAAACUGCCAAGCUUGAGGAUGGUAGAGGGAGGUGGAAUUCCGGGUGUAGCGGUGGAAUGCGCAGAUAUCCGGAGGAACACCAGUGGCGAAGGCGGCCUCCUGGACCACUCCUGACACUCAGACGCGAAAGCUAGGGUAGCAAACG